rfam:Hymenolepis nana genome assembly, scaffold: HNAJ_contig0003263
CAACCGGUUCCAUUUGGAAUCACACCAUGAAUAUUUAAAUAUUAUAU